rnacentral:rRNA from 1 species
AGUGAACGCUGGCGGCGUGCCUAAUACAUGCAAGUCGAACGGAGUGGCGCACGGGUGGGUAAUGUAUAGAUAAUCUGCCCUACACUAGAGGACAACAGUUGGAAAAGACUGCUAAUACUCUAUAGUGUAGGAUGAGGCUAUAUUGUAUCAGCUAGUUGGUGAGGUAAUGGCACACCAAGGCUAUGACGCAUAACUGGUCUGAGAGGAUGAUCAGUCAAACUCGAAGGGAGACACGGGCCGGAAACCUUCGGGAGGGAGCGGUAGGCUAUAUUGCUCAAUGGGGGAAAACCUGAAGCGGCUACGCGGCGUGGAGUAUGUCACUUUUCGGAGAGUAGACUCCUUUUGUUACGGAAGCGGUACCUGACGAAUAAGCACCGGCUAACUCCGUGCCAGCAGCCGCGGUAAUUC